GAGGGUAUAGCUCAGUGGCAGAGUGCAUGCCUCACAUGCAUGAGGUCUUGGGUUCAACCCCCAGUACCUCCA
rnacentral:tRNA from 1 species